UUAACUGAAAUUUGUAUGGAGUUGGAACGUUUGCCGCUAGGAGCGUUGUUCCAACUGCAUAUAAAUUUGAGUUA
rnacentral:pre_miRNA from 1 species